UACACUCAGUAAGUUUUUAAUCCCUGUUACUGUUUGAUCUCAUUACUGUGUACUUUGGUUUUGGAUUGGUUCUAUGAAGGUCUGCACUCAAGCUCAUUUGGACUUUCUACAGAUUACUUAUAAGUUUUUAUUUACACAAACAUUCAAUGACAUGGCAUUAACCUGACGGGAAUCUCUGUAAACUUUCAUCUCUAACGGUGACCGUUUAUCUUCAGCUGGAUUUUGAACAGAACCAGGAGAACUGAGAAUAUCUGCAGACAAGAUGGAGGCUGGAAAAGGUUCUUCUGCAGACCUGAAGCUUUUCCUCACAGCCACCACUGGUACACUGCAAAAACAGUGGCAAUUUGCAAAUAUGUUGAUAAAGCAUCAGUAAAAUUAAAAGUUGAAGUUUGUGUGGUUAAAACAUUCAUUUUUUUUUAGCUACGCUAAGCUAAGCUAAUGUCCACACAGACUUCUGAAUCAUUCAGAUUCAUGAGACAUUUAAUCCUAUAAAGUGGCCGUCUUCAUAGAAUGCAUCAAAAAUAACUUUUUACAUAGAGAUAUUUUUUUUUUUUAAAUUUUACUUACUUUUGUUCCCUCUGUCCCCCAAUUGAUCCAUUACCACUUUGACCAAAACCAAAGUCCACAAAAUAAGACAAGAAAAACAAAACAAAAUGUUCCGGUUCUGGUAUUCGUUGGACAUCUAUGACGUCAUGACAUCCAAUCAACCAUGAAAUCCACCAUGUUUAAAUGCAGCUGAGUGCCUCUCAUUUUCAUAGAUAAGCCAGCAGAAUGCGGAGACAUGAGCAAACAAUAAAUGUGAUGGAUGUAUUAAAGCAUUUUAAUUGAAAAACAAAUUCAAACUGGAUCUUGAAAGAGGUGGUGGACAAUUGUCCUUAUUGGAUAAAAAUUAGUAGGGCCACAGUUUUUACUUUUGCUAUAAAACAGUAAAAUAGUUUGUUCUCAACUUUUGAAAAUUCUUGCACUCAAAAAUGAUAAACAUACAAUGAUUUUUUUAGUGUUAUUAUUCACCCUUCAAAACAUCCCAUAUAACAGUUAAAAAUGUAUCAACAACAAUAUUUUACUUCCGUUUUGUGUUUUUCUUUCAACAUGUAAAAUUAUAAGUUUUUGUCCUUUUAUUUUGAAAAACCGGAAGUAAACACAGCUCCCGUUCGUGUCACAUUGUGUGGUCUUACACCCGUCUUCUCUGUACCAAGUGAGCUUCAGAGUGUAAAGGCCACGUUUUACUUAAUGUUCUAUUAGAUUUACAUAUUUUUAACCUAUUGUUUUUUUUAUUUUAUUUUGUAAAAAACCGGAAGUUAACACAGCUUCCACAUGUGUCACGUUAUGUGGUCUCCCUCCUGUUUUCUCAGUACAGACUGAGCUGCAGAGUUUAAAAGACACGUUUUGCGGAAUAUUUUAUUAGAUUUAUACAUUUUAACAUACUAUGUUGGUCUUUUUAUUUUGAAAAACCGAAUGAGCGCAGAGUUUUUGCUUCUGUCACGUCCGGUGUUUUCGCGCCUGUCUCGUCAGUACGAGGGAUCUCCAGAGGAAAUUGUUGACUUAUGGACCCAAACCAGGAAGCGAGCGCUGGACCAUCUCCUGACUGAUCGAUGAACGCAGAGCAGGUAACCUUCGUCUGGUGGACUUCCUCUCUUCCCAGCACUUCUGUCGCUUUCCUCCCCAUCACAGUCAUUCCAGGAAACCAGACUGGUGUUUUCUGACUCGAUGAGCACAAAGAAACGGGCAGUCUUACAUAAUCCAAAACAGGACAUGGUAUUUAAGGAUAGAGAGGGCCAGUUGGAGUCGAGCAGCAUCUCAGAGACACUCGAGCGUCGCUGCUCAGACGCCGAAACACUUCUGCUCGAGAGCACUGAUGGAUUCAAACCACAAGUGUCUGACGCCGACCUUCUAUGAGCACCAGCAGGAAGACGUAAAAAAGGACAUUAAUCCCAUUAAAAAGGCUUCUUCAUGAAAGACUGUGUUUCAGUGUAAAGUAAAUUUCUGAAACAUGAUUUCAUGUGACUCAUAGAUUCUUGUCUCUUGCUUCCAGCCUGUCGUUUCUCAUCCGCCGUCUUCC